GAAAUGUUGCACACGAAAGGAGGAGGAGGACACUGCAGACGAUGAACGGUCUUGGUAGGUAACAGUACUGGUUUUCUGGUGUUGGAAAGAGGGAUGAAGUGUGGAGAGAGGAAACCAGAGUGGAUGGUACUACUUGUCAUGAUUCCCUCAAGCUGAAAUGGUGUCAUAAUCUCUUAUUGCUAGUCUGGAUUAAAUUGCUUGCAGGGAGAUUCCAAUUAAAGGGAAGAAGAGUUUUAGGAUAGACUCCCCAGACACAUGUUUGGAUAAAGUGACGAGAUUUUUUUACAACUGUCUGUUGUGCUCUUUCUGCCUGCUUUUGGUUGGUUGCGGUUGCAAAUUGUCAAACUCAAGACUUAAGUUCAUCCUCGUUUACAGUGGUAAUAUACUGAAAACUACCCAAAAAAACCUGCUACCGGCCUCAUCUCUGAUGAUGGUUUAUCUACUUUUUUUUCUUUGGAGCCUAAUUCAGGUUGGCCUGAACUGCCCAUUUGCGUAAUUUAGAUGUGGAAUUACCUUCCAGGAAAACUCAAUUCAAUUGGAAAUUGAAUAAAUAAAAUGCUUGGCAGGAUUCAAAGCUCUCCUUUUUGUUUAGAGUCUCCUUAAAAAUAAAAUUUGGGAAAAGGUAGAUAGUUUCUAUUCCAGUGACACUGACAAAAUUACCAUGAUGCAAGAAGAUAAGCAACGGACCUACGAGGUAGAGAAAGUUUCUCCUGAAGAUGACCCACCACAUUUGGAUAACUCCUCAUCAAAUAAGGAUGAAGUUCCAACCCCUGAAGCUGGGAUGGAAUUCUCUUCUGAACAACAAGUUCGCCAAUUCUAUAGAUCUUAUGCUCAACGUCUUGGAUUUGGGAUUUCCAAAGUUUCUUGCAAGAAUGGAGAUGAUGAUGGCAAGCAGAAGUAUUUUUCACUCGGAUGUUCCAAGAAUGGUAAGACCAAAUCAACUACUAAACCUUCUUACCAUGGAAGGCUCUCAGUCUCCACAAAGACCGACUGUUCUGUAAAGCUAAAAUCAAUGUUGCCACUAUGGAUGAUGGUACUUGCGUCGUCACUCCCUUGACCACAGUCAUGACUUCACUCCAGAAAAAUCACACCAUAUUAGACGUGACAAGUUCUCGGACUAUUCUAAUGUCAGAACAGAAAUAAAGUUUCACACUUACAUGACCAAAACAUUUCAGAAGCUCAAAGUUUGAGACUCAGACCUGGAGAUGCUUGGGCCUUGAGUAAUUUUUUUCCAUCAUAUGCAAGUCAGAGAUCCUAAUUUCUUUUAUGCGGUUAAUUUGGAUGAAGAAUGUCGCAUAAAAAAUAUAUUUUGGGCAGAUGCAAGGUGUAGAGCAACGUAUGAGUCCUUUUGUUAUGUCAUUUCUUUUGAUACUACUUGUUUGACUCAGAGCUGUGAUUUGCCUUUGGUUUCAUUCAUUGGAAUGUACCACCAUGGCCAAACUGUAUUGCUAGGUUGCGGAUUGGUAUCUGGGGAGGAUACGGAACUUUUGUGUGGUUAUUCAGAUCUUGGUUAACAAGCAUGCUAAGACGUGCUCCGAAGGCUAUAAUCAUUGAUGAAGACAGCUCCAUUCAAGCUGCUGUUGCUGAGGAAUUUCCAGAUUCCCAUUAUUGUUUGUGCCUGAGGCAAAUAACGAGAAAACUCCCACAAAUAUUAGGACGUCUUACUUAUUAUAAAGCAAUAAAGGGGAGUUUGGAAAAUAUUGUUUAUGAUUCUAUUAAAGGGGAUGAGUUUGAAGAGAAUUGGGAGAAGCUGCUUAAAGAUUUUGAAUUGGAGAAGAAUGAUUGGUUAAAAUCAUUGUAUCAAGAUUGGCACACUUUUUGGGCUGGCAAGUCAAAAACAACAUUGAAGCAGUUUGUUGAACACUAAGAUAAUGCUUUGAAGAAUAAGAUAGACAGAGAGAAAAAUUCAGAUGUUGCUUCAUCCAACUCCACCACGCCAACAAUAUCUGGACAUCCCAUUGAAAAGCAAUUUCAAAAUAUUUACACUACCUCCAUCUUCAAGUUGGUUCAGGAGGAAUUAAGAGGGUUGAUGUUUUGCACUGCCUGCUUUGUGAAAAAAGAGGGGUCAGUUUGAAUUUAUGGUGUUGUAGAAAACAUGUUAGAUAAUGAAGGAGUACAUUGGAAAGAAGUUAUGUUUGAUGUACAUUAUGAUACUGAAAAUGCAUGUCAGAUUAAUUGUUUUUUGUCAUCUUUUUGAGUCUCGGGGUAUCCUUUGUAGGCAUGUAAUCUCUGUGCUAACCAUGAACAAUUUUACCAAGGUUUCAACAUGUUAUGUUUUGGACUGAUGGCGCAAAGACAUGAAUCGUGGUUACCAGCGUGUAAAAGCUGUUUAUGAUGAUUUCAGUGACAAUGAAGAAAGACGUUGUUAUGACUGUCUCAGUCCAUUAUUGUUGGAAGUGCAACGUCUUGUUGCUGAAAAUGAGUAAAGAUGUGACCUUUUGGUGAACUUUUUAACCAAUGCAAGGGAAAAACUUCUUGCCACAGAUGCUACUACUCUGAGUAGUGAAAGAAAUCAGAGUUCGUCAGGUCUGCCUCACAAUAAAAACUUCUUGCCACAGGUAGGAGUUGGAAACAGGGUGGGAACUCCACUGACAGAUGAGAAGGCGGCCAAAAAUAAGGUUACUAAAGGACAUCAAACUCUGGAACAGACACCAACACUUGGUAUGGUGGCAGAACAAGAAAAUCAAAUGGUUUGUAGUUUGGUGUAGGACUCGGAUUGGCAUGACUUCUUGUGAAUUUAGAUGUCUCAAAUGUUUCUCGAUUUACCAUCAAAGAGGAAUAAGAUGCUUGGUUGAAGAAAGUUCGACGAUCUAUCUAUCUUUUGUUAUCUGAGCUGUUGUAGUUGUUAUAUUAUCUCUUUGAUUUUCUUGCUUACUGUGCAGCAGCAAUAAGUUUUCUGGGGCAGUUCAGUGACAGAUUCAUGAUCUUCUCAACACCAAUGAUCACCCAAGGACAAGUUCUCCUUGAUUACUUGUAUACUUAUCAUCCCUAUGUAAGAAUUUGUGGUGGUGGUGAUGGAAGAAUGAUUUUUUACAAAAAGCUGAAUUUGCAAUUAAUCUCAGAUUAUUUUGGUUGAGCGUAAUUGUUCCACUCUUGACAGAGGCAGUAGAUUAUUCUCUUGUUCGUCCUCUUGCUUGAGUGGUUGCUUUGUCAAACGCCAGUUGAAUCUGAACUGCAAUACAUGCGGAGGAUGCAUGUUUGCCAUAUUGUUGGUUCUGAUUAAUCCAUUUACUACCACGUCAAAAAUG